rnacentral:rRNA from 1 species
UAGUCAUAUGCUUGUCUCAAAGAUUAAGCCAUGCAUGCCUCCGUUCACACUUUUAUAAAGUGAAACCGCAAAUGGCUCAUUAAAUCAGCUACAAUUUAUUAGAUCGUACACUUGUUACAUGGAUAACUGUGGGAAUUCCAGAGCUAAUACAUGCCUAGAGUCUCUGACCUUCGGGAACGAGCGCAGUUAUUAGACCAAAACCAAUCAUAUCUUCGGAUAUGUGAUUUUGGUGACUCUGGAUAACCUUCAGUAGAUCGCAUGGCCUUGUGCCGGCGACGUAUCUAUCAAGUGUCUGCCCUAUCAACUAGAUGGUAGGUUAGUAGCCUACCAUGGUUGUAACGGGUAACGGGGAAUCAGGGUUCGAUUCCGGAGAGGGAGCCUGAGAAAUGGCUACCACAUCCAAGGAUGGCAGCAGGCGCGCAAAUUACCCAAUCCCUGAUUGGGGAGGUAGUGACGAAAAAUAACAAUGCGGAACUCUUAUGAGGCUCCGUAAUUGAAAUGAUUUAAGUGCAAAUACUUUUAAUAGUACCUAUU